AGCCUACUUGGCCCAGCUCUGUUGAUUGCACACACUGAAAAGAAGCCAGGUAACCCAUAGGAGCCAAUUCCCAACCUUCUCUUCGGCUCCCAGUGUAAUGCAACCCCAUUCACCUUGUUCAGUUGAGAAUUGAUGGAUUCUUGGAUUUUCCUUUAUGGAAAGCAGAGUGACUUUAAGUCCCAGAAUCGAUUACUUUACAAAGGAAAAAAGUGAUGGAGGGGUUAGAUCACUCGGGGACUUGUAUGAGAGGAGGAAUAGUGACAGCUCCAGUUUCUUUUCUCCUUUUUAAUUAUAAAGAAACCAUUGUAGAGCCCCGUGCUUUAGACAAGCAGACGUAAGCAACUCUUCUAAAUAAAUAAGUAAUUCAUUGGAAUUAAGACAACGGAUUCCCUUAUUUCUCUGGUUCAGUGAUGCCAUCGAUAUUAUCAGCAUGAAUAAACAGAUGCCUUGGA